rnacentral:tRNA from 3 species
GUCUAUAUAGAUUAUUUAAAAUCGUGAUGCUGUUAACUUCAAGAAGGGAUGCGUCCCUAUAGUCG